rnacentral:tRNA from 1 species
AAAAAAGUGCCUGAGAUUCCAAGGACUACCUUGAUAGAGUAGCCACGGGAACCAUUUCCCCACUUCCC